rnacentral:rRNA from 1 species
UGGGGAAUAUUGGACAAUGGGCGAAAGCCUGAUCCAGCCAUGCCGCGUGUGUGAAGAAGGUCUUCGGAUUGUAACGCACUUUAAGUUGGGAGGAAGGGCAGUAAGCGAAUACCUUGCUGUUUUGACGUUACCGACAGAAUAAGCACCGGCUAACUCUGUGCCAGCAGCCGUGGUAAUACCGAGGGUGCAAGCGGUAAUCGGAAUUACUGGGCGUAAAGCGCGCGUAGGUGGUUCGUUAAGUUGAAUGGGAAAGCCCCGGGCUCAACCUGGGAACUGCAUCCAAAGCUGGCGAGCUAGAGUGGGGCAGAGGGUGGUGGAAUUUCCUGUGUAGCGGGGAAAUGCGUAGGUAUAGGAAGGAACACCAGUGGCGAAGGCGACCACCUGGGCUCAUACUGACACUGAGGUACGAAAGAAUGGGGAGCAAACAGG